UACGUAGGGUGCGAGCGUUAAUCGGAAUUACUGGGCGUAAAGCGUGCGCAGGCGGUUUGUUAAGUCUGAUGUGAAAGCCCCGGGCUCAACCUGGGAAUGGCAUUGGAAACUGGCAAGCUCGAGUAUGGCAGAGGGGGGUGGAAUUCCGCGUGUAGCAGUGAAAUGCGUAGAUAUGCGGAGGAACACCGAUGGCGAAGGCAAUCCCCUGGGCCUGCACUGACGCUCAUGCACGAAAGCGUGGGGAGCAAACAGG
rnacentral:rRNA from 1 species